CAGUAGCCGCGGGAAUACGUAGGUGGCAAGCGUUGUCCGGAAUUAUUGGGCGUAAAGGGCUCGCAGGCGGUUUCUUAAGUCUGAUGUGAAAGCCCCCGGCUCAACCGGGGAGGGUCAUUGGAAACUGGGAAACUUGAGUGCAGAGGAGGAGAGUGGAAUUCCACGUGUAGCGGUGAAAUGCGUAGAGAUGUGGAGGAACACCAGUGGCGAAGGCGACUCUCUGGUCUGUAACUGACGCUGAGGAGCGAAAGCGUGGGGAGCGAACAGGAUUAGAUACCCCAGUAGUCCCUGUCUCUUAUAC
rnacentral:rRNA from 1 species